rnacentral:tRNA from 1 species
AAUUAGGUGCCUGAAAAAAGGAUUAUUUUGAUAGAAUAAAAAAUGUAUAAUUACCCUAAUUA